rnacentral:rRNA from 1 species
UACGGGGGGGGCAAGCGUUGUUCGGAAUUACUGGGCGUAAAGGGCUCGUAGGUGGCCAACUAAGUCAGACGUGAAAUCCCUCGGCUUAACCGGGGAACUGCGUCUGAUACUGGAUGGCUUGAGUUUGGGAGAGGGAUGCGGAAUUCCAGGUGUAGCGGUGAAAUGCGUAGAUAUCGAGAGGAACACCUGCGGCGAAGGCGGGUAGCUGGGCCGACACUGACGCUGAGGCGCGAAAGCCAGGGGAGCGAACGGG